CCUACGGGAGGCAGCAGUGAGGAAUAUUGGUCAAUGGACGCAAGUCUGAACCAGCCAUGCCGCGUGCAGGAAGACGGCUCUAUGAGUUGUACACUGCUUUUGUACGAGGGUAAACGCAGAUACGCGUAUCUGUCUGAAAGUAUCGUACGAAUAAGGAUAGGCUAACUCCGUGCCAGCAGCCGCGGUAAUACGGAGGAUUCAAGCGUUAUCCGGAUUUAUUGGGUUUAAAGGGUGCGUAGGCGGUCGGAUAAGUUAGAGGUGAAAUCCCGAGGCUCAACUUCGGAAUUGCCUCUGAUACUGUUCGGCUAGAGAGUAGUUGCGGUAGGCGGAAUGUAUGGUGUAGCGGUGAAAUGCUUAGAGAUCAUACAGAACACCGAUUGCGAAGGCAGCUUACCAAGCUACUUCUGACGUUGAGGCACGAAAGCGUGGGGAGCAAACAGGAUUAGAUACCCGGGUAGUC
rnacentral:rRNA from 1 species